rnacentral:pre_miRNA from 1 species
CCAGUACUCCCUCCGUUUGGAAUUACUUGUCUCGGAAAUGGAUGUAUCUAAAACUAAAAUAUAUCUAGAUACAUCCAUUUCUAUGACAAGUAAUUCCGAACGGAGGGAGUACUGU